UGAGGCCUAUUUAUUCAAAAGCAAUGCAUGCUCUCUGUACACUGCUCUUGUCCUUCUGCUGAAAAUAAAUGUCUCAUUGUUUGUUGAUGGGAAGGAUUGCAAUAUUGAAAUAGCAGUCAUGCAGUGUGUUUGGACUGAUUCAAGGACAUAGAGGUUGGCCAGCUUAUUGUUAAUGUAAAUAAAUGCAAAUAUUAAAAUGGGGCUUUGUGCCCAUGAUACGCCAUUAGAGUGCUGUUUCAUGUCCGUCGGGGGUUAAUAAUGUGAAUUCCAUCGAUUUCUGGCUUUUAGAGAAAUGUUCACAGAUUUUCUGUCCGUGGCGGGAUUGUUGUGCUUGUUAAUCCAUUUGAGUCAGAGUGUGGUGUGUCUUGCUAGGUAUAGGUCAUUGCUAAUGGCAUGCUAAUGAGAGCCUGCUAAUCAAUUUGUGCUUAAUCAGCCAAUCAAUGUUUGCUGUAGCUGGCAAGCACACAGAGCACCGGACGCAGCAGUGCCGUGAGAAACUGCAAGACUUCUUGCCCCGGGUUUUAACUCAGUUUGUUACUUUCCUUCUCACUGAUCCCGUUGCUUGAAGGAGGGAUUUCAAGUGGUGUCUGUCUAAUUUUACAAAGACAAAGAAACAUAAAUGGAAAUUAUAGUAAUAGAGGUCUCCCUCAUGCAGAGAAUUGUGGGAUUUGUAGUGUUGUCGCACAAGAGUCCUGCCACAAAAGAUGGCUAAGUGAGUUCUAUUUUUGGACAAUAUUUGUUGCUAUUCUUCUCAAUCACUUUUCUUUCACUACAGUUCUUUAUUUACACACCCCUAAUUCAGAAAACUAGGAAUAAAUAUAAUCCCACUGCUAUACUGGUGUCCAUCCACUUUUACUGGGUCACUGACAAGACUUGAAGGAAGCAUUUAACCUCUGUUUGUAACUUGUAACUUUCUUUCGACCUCCAGGUUGUAGUUUACGAUUCAUUUUCCCAGUUUCACAUUCUUUGAAUUCCUCAUCAUUUAUUUUUUUUUCUUUAUUUUUUUCGUUUUUUGUAAAACAUCAAUCUGUACUUCCAUUCAACCACAUGUUUAUCGAUUGUAGUUGAAACAUUAAUCCUUGCUUUAAAAACUCUCAGAAAAAUGAUGUAACCCACUCCAUUUUCCACCAAGCUCUUGUGGCUGAAAGCACAUUUCCUUGAAAAGGAAAAGAAGACAAAUGCAAGAACCCACACGCACACAAAACAAGAACUAAUCCCUGACCUGACAGGAGGGAGAGGAAAAGCUAUGAAUUAAUCUUAGAGAAAGAUCCCAAAUAAAAUCAGCCUAGUGGUGACCGUUCACUGGCAGGCAACUGUUUCCCAUAUGUCUCUCUUCCUUUGAAGAAACGGAAUGAAAUUGCAGAGCGCUAUUGAAUGUAAUCAUACAUUUGUUAAAGAGUGUGAGAGAGGCAGUCACAUCCCAUAACAGACUCAUCUAUAUCCCUUAAACGCUGCCCGGCUGUCAAGAAAAAGAGGAAACGGGGCCGUUUAGGAAGUUGUGCUGAGUCAAGUGAUUUCCUCCAUAAAAGAUCCACGCUGAAGAGCUGACAGCGAUGACCUCCACCUGUCACCUGUUAUGACAACCAGAAACAGAGUGUUUCUUAUUUUGCAGCUGUUUGAAAACGAGUCAUGCACUGAUUGAAAGCACUAAUGUGAAAAAAAUCAACCGUGAUUCUUUUGUUGUUUCACCAGCACAUAAAGUAUCAUCUUGGACCUUUUUACCUUACACUAGCUAGUUUACCAGUGUGAAUUAAAAAAGUGUUACUGGUGCUAAUAAUGUUGAUCUGUUCUUCACACAAAGCCAUCAAAUUCAUAAAAAAAUAAAAAUCAAGUAUUACAGAAGGGCAUGUUUGCUAAAGUUGUUUUAUAAGAAAUAAUGUACUUAUUAGGAAAAGUUAGUGAUGAAUAUUAAUGUAGUCAUAGUCAUUAAAUGUAGUCAUUUUUAAUGUAAUUUUAAUGUAGUCAUUAAAAAGAAAAAAAUAAAAUAAAAUGAAAAUAUAUAUUAGUAUCCAUCCAUAUCUACUGGCAGGUCUCCCUCAUGCAGUCCCUAAUAACUUGUUACAUUGUAUUUAAAGGGUUCACUGAAAAAUAAAAAAUUCUGUCCUCAUUUACUCACCCUCAUGUCAUUUCAAAAGACUUUCUUUCUUCUGUCGAACACAAAGGAAGAUAUUUUGAAGAAUGUUGGUACCUAAACAGUUUCGGUUCCCAUAGACUUCUAUUGUAUACAGGUUUGGAACGACAUGAGGAUGACAGAAUUAUCCUUUUGAAGCAUAUGAUUUAAACAUUGAAACAUUAUGACAUUGAAAACACUUGAAGUGUAAAUCGUCAUAGAUCAGAUAAACACAAAAAAAAAAAAAAAUCACAAUUAAUUACAAAGAAACGGCAUAACAUAAAAUUCUAUAAAUAGAAAGAUUAACAAAAUAUUUUCUUUUAAAAUGUAUUUUGAUCAUCUUUGUUUUAUUUACAACUUUGAAAAGUAAUUUUUACAGUGUGUGAUGGAAAGGACACAUUACAAAGCCCUAUAGAGAGUUUUUACAUAGAAUGUGAGUUGUGUUAGUGUACAAACUGUUCAUUCGGCCAAAAGCGCUGCCUCAUAAUUGUACUUUUUAAAGGUGAAAAUGUUUCAAUGUUCCUCUGCACUAUGAUUACAACAUGUUCUCCAUCAUAUCCGUACUGAACAGUGAGCGGGGAGUGAAACCAGCCCUGCAGAGACGGCAUUCUGAUAAGGGGGAGUCAUUACAAAUUCUUUUUGAUAGGAAAUAUAUUUGAAUAUCUUUCAAGCUGUCCCACUCACACCCCACACCUUUUAUUUUUUCGCAUAUUAUUUAAUCAUAAG
ensembl:lncRNA